AAACUUAGCUUUUUGCUUGUCCUCAGGCAAAAUAAAACUAGAAAACAAAAAAUAAAAAACUAACAAACUAGAAACUUAACUAAAACUAAUUGACAAAAAAUUUCACCUUCAAAGUUGCAAUCCAUAAAACACGUUAAAAAUUAGAACAUCGUUUCAAAAGUUCCAACCAAUCCCACCACAGAGUCUAAGCCAUUUAGAAUCAAUUAGAAAAGAAUUCACAAACUUCCUUUGGUGUAAAGUGAACCAACAUAGUUUAGGAGACUCGACUAAAACCCUUAUCUCUCGUCCUUCUUUAUUUCACACGUACUAACUUUAAAUAUAGCUAUUUUUAUUUUUCUUUUUCUUUUCGAUUUUUCUCUUCUUCUUUUUAUUUUUUUUUAUAGAUAUAUAUAUAUAUAUAUAUUUUCAGUAACAGCAGUGGUCGUGCAAUGUCGGUUCCCUUAAGUUUUCUAUCCAACCCAUGUAAUGAGCUUUAGGUCAAUGACUCCCAAACCAUAAAGGCUUUAGGGCACUAGGUGUAGAAUACCCCUAAGGACUUACUAGCUGGAGCUGAAAAGGCUACGAAACCAAUUAACCACCCUGCCCCAUGCCAAAACUCUACCGUUUGACUGAAGAAUCACUGCUGAUUAGGCAAGAUUGGCCUAGUUACUAAGCAAAGCCUCGAGUGGAACAAUUAUUAAUUUAUAACACUUACUAACUCUAUUUUAUAUAGAACAAAAAUUAAAAUACACUUAGACAGAAAUUAAGUGUUUCAAUCUCACUCCCCACAAACCAUGUUAGUGUGAUGUGCAAAUUUCAAAGUACAAUUCAUGAAUUAGUGUCUAAGCAACGACAAAUAGAAAAGACUCUAUUAUGAGAUUAAUCUUCCUCAUGUCCAUUUGUUCUAACUUCUAAAAUAUUCUAUGAAUAUUAACUUAGAAAGAAUAAAAAUUUUAACUUGACACAAAAAUUAAAAUCCUAAAAUUUUACAUUCCCACCUCCAAACUUAUUUCACACUUUGUCCUCAAGGUGUGGAAAAGAAAAUAAAAUAAAAAAGACAACAAAUUAAAUAAAAUUAAAUUAAAGACAAAAACGAAACCUGAACUGAACAUAACAAAUAAAUAAAAGAAAAACAAAAGAAAAACCAAAGAAAGGUAACAAAAUAAAUAAAUAAUUAAAGAAAGGAAAACAUGCACCUGGUGUGAAUCACGACGUGAAAGGAUCCAAGGUCUUCAAGAGUCACUCAUUAGGCCAUGGAAAACCAAGGAAAAACAUGAAUAAUGGCCUACGGAAAUAGAGACAAAGCAACCCAUUUUGCUGCUCACACACACGACACGCGGAAACACCAGAAACCCUAGCUGUAUUUGACCAAGCUUCUGCAUCCAUUCUCCUUGAGCCCAGAGCCAACGGCUCCCUGUCCCUCCAAUUUCAAAUUGUCCUUUCAUCUUUAGAUACAGAACGCACGCGAUUUAGACACGUGGCAUGCAUCUGUGCAAUGGACUCCGUAGGAUUCCUCUAACACAUGCAUCUCAUCCGCCCAUUUUCAUUUCAGAGUAUUUUGUUAGCAACCGGAGGCCUCUGUCCAUAUCAGAAAUAGCUCUCCCAUUUUUCUCACCCCUCUUUCUAUCUAGAAAAUCAGAAACGGCUCUCACUUCACCAGCACAUGCACACCAACGCCCAUUAUUGCAAACCUUCCAUCUCACAGCAGCUGCUUCAUCCUCUCUAUGCGCUGCAUACGUUUGCAACCCAUAACCCAGCAACAAACAAACCUCCGCGAGUACCCAGCUGUGGUGGAGUGAACUGACAAGCUAAGAUGCUUAAGCCAAAAUCCUCCUCAAUUUGUGCUAUUGUCGUUUCAUCUUUAUGUAUUUGAGUGAAAUGUGACAAGAUCUAACAAACACAUGCAUGUGUUUUUAUCCGUAUGAGGUCCCCUAAACUUGCAAAUCUAAGCCUAUAACUCCACCCUGCAUGCGUAUAAUCUAUGCGUCUCGUUUGUGUGCAAAGGUUCUCGAGCUGGAAGCUGAACAACAGCAAAGACAAGGAAAACAUUGAAGACAUCGCGGAUCCGAGUCAUGCAGAGGAAUGACCCCAGAUUGGCAAAGACACAUUUGGCUGACCAAACUAUCGGCCUACAAAGAAGAAUGGCCGCGUAGCAGGAUAGAGAGUUAUAACAUCCCAUCCCUUCUUGUGUAUUACAGAUGGGGUUGAUGUUGAUGUAGAUCUACUACUGGAUGCAUGAUUCCGUCUAAAAUAAUAUCUCUGUGCAUUAAUUCUUGUUUUUCUUGUUUGCUGGCUGCAUAAAAAUCAAGUGUUGAAAUCAGAGAUAGAAUGUUGAAGAUACUAUCGGUAAACUAAAAUAAAACAAGUAAAAGCAAAUUUUUUUUUA